rnacentral:rRNA from 1 species
GGUGGGGAANAUAGUAAUNGGGUGNAGNACAAACNGGNUUAAGCANUCNGGGNGGGAGAACGUNGCAAGAUAAAAUUCAAAGGAAUUGACGGGGGCCNGNACANGGGGUGGAGCANGUGGUUUAAUUNGAAGCAACGAGCAGAACCUAACCAACCGUNGAGAUCGUGUGCUACAUCCAAAGAUGGAUGGUUCCCUUCGGAGACGCAGUGACAGGUGAUGCAUGGCUGUCGUCAGCUAGUGUGGUGAGAUGUUCGGUUAAGUCCGGCAACGAGCGCAACCCACAUCCCUAGUUGCCAGCAGUUCGGCUGGGCACUCUAUGGAAACUGCCCGUGAUAAGCGGGAGGAAGGUGUGGACGACGUCAAGUCCUCAUGGCCCUUACGGGUUGGGCUACACACGUGCUACAAUGGUAGUGACAAUGGGUUAAUCCCAAAAAGCUAUCUCAGUUCGGAUUGUCGUAUGCAACUCGACGGCAUGAAGUCGGAAUCGGUAGUACUCGCGUAACAGCAUGACGCGGUGAAUACGUUCCCGGGCCUU